GUUAACUUCAAAUGAUCAUAUAUUUUAGCACAUAAAGAAUUAAGUGGCUCAUGACCUAUUAAAUUAAAGGUAUUUGAGUCCUCUUUAUAAAGCUGCCAAAUUUGUUAAUUUCGAGCUCGGAGUAGAAAGUUAUGGCCGUUUUAGUGAAGCCUCUCUUCUAAAGACAUUUCAAUCAUUUUAGAGGGGUAGUUUGGUCUUUUNNNNNN
rnacentral:lncRNA from 1 species